AGAGUUUGAUCAUGGCUCAGGAUGAACGCUGGCGGCGUGCUUAACACAUGCAAGUCGAACGGAGGACCCUUGACGGAGUUUUCGGACAACGGAUAGGAAUCCUUAGUGGCGGACGGGUGAGUAACGCGUGAGGAACCUGCCUUGGAGAGGGGAAUAACACAGUGAAAAUUGUACUAAUACCGCAUGAUGCAGUUGGGUCGCAUGGCUCUGACUGCCAAAGAUUUAUCGCUCUGAGAUGGCCUCGCGUCUGAUUAGGUAGUUGGUGGGGUAACGGCCCACCAAGCCGACGAUCAGUAGCCGGACUGAGAGGUUGACCGGCCACAUUGGGACUGAGACACGGCCCAGACUCCUACGGGAGGUAGCAGUGGGGAAUAUUGCACAAUGGGGGAAACCCUGAUGCAGCGACGCCGCGUGGAGGAAGAAGGUCUUCGGAUUGUAAACUCCUGUUGUUGAGGAAGAUAAUGACGGUACUCAACAAGGAAGUGACGGCUAACUACGUGCCAGCAGCCGCGGUAAAACGUAGGUCACAAGCGUUGUCCGGAAUUACUGGGUGUAAAGGGAGCGCAGGCGGGCGAUCAAGUUGAAAGUGAAAUCCAUGGGCUCAACCCAUGAACUGCUUUCAAAACUGGUCGUCUUGAGUAGUGCAGAGGUAGGCGGAAUUCCCGGUGUAGCGGUGGAAUGCGUAGAUAUCGGGAGGAACACCAGUGGCGAAGGCGGCCUACUGGGCACCAACUGACGCUGAGGCUCGAAAGUGUGGGUAGCAAACAGGAUUAGAUACCCUGGUAGUCCACACCGUAAACGAUGAUUACUAGGUGUUGGGAGAUUGACCCUCUCAGUGCCGCAGUUAACACAAUAAGUAAUCCACCUGGGGAGUACGACCGCAAGGUUGAAACUCAAAGGAAUUGACGGGGGCCCGCACAAGCAGUGGAGUAUGUGGUUUAAUUCGACGCAACGCGGAGAACCUUACCAAGUCUUGACAUCCCUUGACGAUGCUGGAAACAGUAUUUCUCUUCGGAGCAAGGAGACAGGUGGUGCAUGGUUGUCGUCAGCUCGUGUCGUGAGAUGUUGGGUUAAGUCCCGCAACGAGCGCAACCCUUAUGGUCAGUUACUACGCAAGAGGACUCUGGCCAGACUGCCGUUGACAAAACGGAGGAAGGUGGGGAUGACGUCAAAUCAUCAUGCCCUUUAUGACUUGGGCUACACACGUACUACAAUGGCGUUAAACAAAGAGAAGCAAGACCGCGAGGUGGAGCAAAACUCAGAAACAACGUCCCAGUUCGGACUGCAGGCUGCAACUCGCCUGCACGAAGUCGGAAUUGCUAGUAAUCGUGGAUCAGCAUGCCACGGUGAAUAUGUUCCCGGGCCUUGUACACACCGCCCGUCACACCAUGAGAGCCGGGGGGACCCGAAGUCGGUAGUCUAACCGCAAGGAGGACGCCGCCGAAGGUAAAACUGGUGAUUGGGGUGAAGUCGUAACAAGGU
rnacentral:rRNA from 1 species